GCGUAUUUUUUGGGGGGCCGGGGUUUGCAUGUGUGACUGGAAUGUCUGUUUCGCCGAACUGAUAUAUUAAAUACUUUUUUCAAGACCAAACUGCAACCGGCUGCUGAGUGUGACCUUUAUGGCUCCAUUUGUCGACCGUAAUUCAUAAACUCGUUGUCAUUUUAGACUCAUUCGUAGCCUUUGGUUAAUUUAGAACCCCUCACUUC
rnacentral:lncRNA from 1 species